UACGAAGGGUGCAAGCGUUACUCGGAAUUACUGGGCGUAAAGCGUGCGUAGGUGGUUGUUUAAGUCUGUCGUGAAAGCCCUGGGCUCAACCUGGGAAUUGCGAUGGAUACUGGGCGACUAGAGUGUGGUAGAGGACAGUGGAAUUUCCGGUGUAGCAGUGAAAUGCGUAGAGAUCGGAAGGAACAUCUGUGGCGAAGGCGACUGUCUGGGCCAACACUGACACUGAGGCACGAAAGCGUGGGGAGCAAACAGGG
rnacentral:rRNA from 1 species